AUACGGAGGAUCCGAGCGUUAUCCGGAUUUAUUGGGUUUAAAGGGUGCGCAGGCGGCCAUUUAAGUCAGCGGUUAAAUCUUGGGGCUCAACCCCAUUCUGCCGUUGAUACUGGGUGGCUUGAUUGCGGUCGAGGUUGGCGGAAUUCGUUGUGUAGCGGUGAAAUGCAUAGAUAUGACGAAGAACACCGAUUGCGUAGGCAGCUGACCAGAUCGCAAAUGACGCUCAUGCACGAAAGUGCGGGGAUCGAACAGGAUUAGAUACCCUGGUAGUCCGCACAGUAAACGAUGAAUACUUGUUUUCGGCGAUAUAAUGUCGGAGGCAAAGCGAAAGCGAUAAGUAUUCCACCUGGGGAGUACGCCGGCAACGGUGAAACUCAAAGGAAUUGACGGGG
rnacentral:rRNA from 1 species